rnacentral:rRNA from 1 species
AACGUAGGAUCCGAGCGUUAUCCGAAUUCACUGGGCGUAAAGCGCGUGCAGGCGGCUUGUUAAGUUGGAUGUGAAAUCUCCCGGCUCAACUGGGAGAGGUCGUUCAAAACUGGCAGGCUUGAGGACGGUAGAGGAAGGUGGAAUUCCCGGUGUAGUGGUGAAAUGCGUAGAUAUCGGGAGGAACACCCGUGGCGAAGGCGGCCUUCUGGACCGUUCCUGACGCUCAGACGCGAAAGCUAGGGGAGCGAAC